CGGGGAUGUCGCAGCCUCUCCGUCAGAUGGCGAUCUCAUUCAAGCGCUGC
rnacentral:ncRNA from 1 species